AGGAUGGACCCUCUGUUACUUCACCUUAUAUGCCUCUAGAUCAACCAAAGGAAGGCACAAAGAAGAGACGUGUCAUCCAGAUAUUGGAUAGUCCUGAGGGGAAAAAAAGUGCAAAAAUCAAGAAGGCUUCAUACCUACAUCUAGAGACUAUCCAGGUAAGGCACUGGCGUUUGAUUAUGAGAACAAAUUAAUUGAAGACUUUCUACAAUCGAGAAUGAACAGUGAUACGUACAUUUGGAAGUGUGCCGAAGCAAGCGUAUCUCGCUUAGAUGCUUAUAUACUAUUAACGGGAGGUGAACUCAGUGACGAUGUGAUCGAUGCAUUUGUUAUUCGGCUUUGUAACAAGAUUGAAACAACUAA